rnacentral:pre_miRNA from 1 species
AGUGGGAUUGCUGGAUCAUAUGGUAAGUCAGUUUUUUGAGGAAUCUCCAUAUUGUUUUCCAUAAAGGCUGCACCAAACUACAUUUCCACCAGCAGU